rnacentral:lncRNA from 1 species
GGGCCGGACGCGCAGCGCUCGGCCGGUGCGUUUGCGGGCCUUGCUGGACCUCUGCGCAGGGACUGAGGGCGGAGGGCGUCCGCGGGCCCCCGGAGCUGAGCGGCCCCCGCGACCCUAUGUCCGAGCCGUCCUGCUCGCACGCACGUCCUCGUCCUGGUGUGGGCCUCUCGUUAUUAGUGACAGCGCCAGGUGCAAGCAUCGGAGCGCCCAGGACCCUGCUUCAGACGUUCUGAGCUUUGAUGAAACAGGGCAUGGGCGGCCACGGCCCCAGGGAUGCUCAGAGAGAUGUUAGGAGGCUCCAAUGAGGUGACAGAACCGGCAGAUAAAUUAGAGCCCUCCGUGAGGGAAAGGAGAUACAUAAGAUGUUGGAGCAGCAGCAGCCGGCUUGUGACAACGAGGCACAACUGGGGUCUACACAUUGAGGACGAAAGAGGCUGGGAACCUGAUGGCACAUGAGGCACCAUACCAGCCCUAGACUCUCUCUUGGCUUCUGAGCCCUGGGAGAGACGGAUGGGGGCCCCCGGCCCCAUGGAGAAGGCCUGUUCUGCUCUGUAACCCAAACCUUCACAAGCCACCAUGCACACCGGUCUGGGGGAAACAGUCUUUGAAAUAAGGGAAGAAGAUGGCACCAGGCAUGGGGCACAGGGUUCGCAGCACCGCAGUCCCAGGACGUGACAAGUUGGCGGGGAUUCCGAGGGAGCGUCUUGGAUUAAAAGGUGACAGGAAGCACGGGCUCUGGGGAAUCCUCAGGAAUUCCCAGUGUCAGGGGCGAAGCAAUUCCAGGCUUUUCGUUUGGACAUUAAAGGGCCAAGGGCUGCGGAAGGCUGGCAAGCUUAGCCACCAGGGAAACAGAACUUACUCCAUGGCUUUGCCAUCUGCCACUAAACUAUCCCAGGAAGGCUGGAGGUGGCUUCCCAAGCCCUUGCCAGCCCUGGAUUCAUUUUCUUAAAUCUUCUGACUUGGUUAAAUGAAAAAAUGGCAUUUCUUGUUUGAGGAGUAGGAGUACAUUUAUUUGAUUCCUAGUGAGGUUAAAUAUAUGUUUAACCAGUUUGUCCAUCUUAGAAUGUUUCUUUGUAACUCUCCUGUUUAUUUCCUUUCACCUAGAAAAGUUGUUUUGUUUCUUGUUGAUUUGUAGGAAUGCUUGAUAUAUUUAAGAUACUAACCCUUUGUGAUAAAUAUUAGCCCCUCUUUUUUUUUUUUUUUUUUUUUUUUUUUUGUCUUUUUGUCUUUUUGCCUUUUCUAGGGCCGCUUCCUGUGGCAUAUGGACGUUCCAGGCUAUGGGUCUAAUUGGAGCUGUAGCCGCUGGCCUACACCACAGCCACAGCAAUGUGGGAUCUGAGACACAUCUGCGACCUACACCACAGCUCACGGCAACGCCGGAUCCUCAACCCACUGAGCAAGGCCAGGGAUCGAACCCACAACCUCAUGGUUCCUAGUCGGAUUCGUUAACCACUGAGCCACAAUGGGAACUCCAAAUAUUAGCCCCUCUUUAUCUUUUGAUUAUUCCCCACCCCCAAGUGUUUAUUUGGAAAAAGGUUCAAAUCCCACAGAAAAGUGGAAGGGUUCAUACUACUACGUCUCUACACCCUUCUCCUAAAUUGGGUUCCUGCUGAGAGGGAAUCGGUGGGAAUCUCCCCCCUCCCCUGGUGAUUCCACCGAUAGGAGUGGGAGGGUCAGGGCUGGCUGGAGGGAUCUGAGUGCGAUGCAGUGACCACAGGGGCCCCAGCCCAUCACAGGGGGAGCUGGGGUGACCCUCCCGAGUCCCCCUGAAUUGAGACAAGUGGGUGUACUUUUAUACCCCCACAUCGACCCGUGCUGGAUGGUCCCAGGGAGGCCAAGGCAGGUCCCAGAGAGGACAGAGCAGAGAACUGCUGACCUCCCCAGCAGCAGGGAUGAGCCCUUCAGCCCUGGAGAGGAGAGGGGACUGCACCUCUCAGAGACACGGCAGAAUGGUUAACCCUGCCUCGUGUGCUUCAUCCUUUCUAUCUCUCUGUGUGUUUUUCCCAAAACAUUUAAGAGUUGUAGGCAUCAUGACAUUCGUUUAAAAUACUUCAGCAUGUGCUUUCUUAGAAAUGGACCAUUCUCUGGAAUAAGAUGUGGUACCUAUAUACAAAGGAAUACUACUCAGCCAUAAAAAAAGAAUGAAAUCAUCUGCAGUAACAGGAAUGCAACUAGAAAUUAUCACACUAACUGAAGUCAGUCAAAAGAAGAAAGACAAAUACCGUAUGAUAUCACAUAUGUGGAAUCUAAAAUAGGGCACACAUGAACCUAUCUACAAAACAGAAGCAGACUCACAGACAUAGAGAACAGACGUGUGGUUGCCAAGGGGGAGAGGCAAGAGAGUGGGAUGGAUGGAUGGGGAGUUUGGGGUGCAGAGAUGUCAAGUAGUCCAUUUAGCAUGGCUGAACGAGGUCCUACUGAAUAGCACGGGGAGCUACAGCCAAUCUCUUGGGACAGAACCUGAUGAAAGAUAAUAUAGGAAAAGGAAUGGAUGUAUGUGUAUGACUAGGUCACUUUGCUGUACAGCAGAAAUUGGCACGACAUGGCAAAUGAACGAUACCUUAAUUAAAAAUGUUAAAAAAUUUU